GACAGAGGGGGCAAGCGUUGCUCGGAAUUACUGGGCGUAAAGGGCGCGUAGGCGGGAUGCAAGUCGGUCGUGAAAUCCCUCGGCUCAACUGAGGAUCGUCGAUCGAUACUGCCGUUCUGAGGAUUGCAGAGGAGACUGGGAAUUCCCGGUGUAGCGGUGAAAUGUGUAGAGAUCGGGAGGAACACCGGUGGCGAAGGCGG
rnacentral:rRNA from 1 species